GACGAACGCUGGCGGCGUGCUUAACACAUGCAAGUCGAGCGGUAAGGCCUUUCGGGGUACACGAGCGGCGAACGGGUGAGUAACACGUGGGUGAUCUGCCCUGCACUUCGGGAUAAGCCUGGGAAACUGGGUCUAAUACCGGAUAUGACCUCCUAUCGCAUGGUGGGUGGUGGAAAGAUUUAUCGGUGCAGGAUGGGCCCGCGGCCUAUCAGCUUGUCGGUGGGGUAAUGGCCUACCAAGGCGACGACGGGUAGCCGACCUGAGAGGGUGACCGGCCACACUGGGACUGAGACACGGCCCAGACUCCUACGGGAGGCAGCAGUGGGGAAUAUUGCACAAUGGGCGAAAGCCUGAUGCAGCGACGCCGCGUGAGGGAUGACGGCCUUCGGGUUGUAAACCUCUUUCAGCAGGGACGAAGCGCAAGUGACGGUACCUGCAGAAGAAGCACCGGCUAACUACGUG
rnacentral:rRNA from 1 species